GAUGAACGCUGGCGGCGUGCCUAACACAUGCAAGUCGAGCGAUUCUCUUCGGAGAGGAGCGGCGGACGGGUGAGUAACGCGUGGGUAACCUGCCCUGUACACACGGAUAACAUACCGAAAGGUAUGCUAAUACGGGAUAACAUAAGAAAUUCGCAUGUGUUUCUUAUCAAAGCUCCGGCGGUACAGGAUGGACCCGCGUCUGAUUAGCUAGUUGGUGAGGUAACGGCUCACCAAGGCGACGAUCAGUAGCCGACCUGAGAGGGUGAUCGGCCACAUUGGAACUGAGACACGGUCCAAACUCCUACGGGAGGCAGCAGUGGGGAAUAUUGCACAAUGGGCGAAAGCCUGAUGCAGCAACGCCGCGUGAGCGAUGAAGGCCUUCGGGUCGUAAAGCUCUGUCCUCAAGGAAGAUAAUGACGGUACUUGAGGAGGAAGCCCCGGCUAACUACGUGCCAGCAGCCGCCGUAA
rnacentral:rRNA from 1 species